UACAGAGGGUGCGAGCGUUAAUCGGAAUUACUGGGCGUAAAGCGCACGUAGGCGGCUUUGCAAGUCGGUUGUGAAAUCCCCGGGCUCAACCUGGGAACUGCGACCGAGACUGCAUUGCUAGAGUAUGGGAGAGGAAAGCGGAAUUUCUGGUGUAGCAGUGAAAUGCGUAGAUAUCAGAAGGAACAUCAGUGGCGAAGGCGGCUUUCUGGACCAAUACUGACGCUCAGGUGCGAAAGCGUGGGGAGCAAACAGG
rnacentral:rRNA from 1 species